AAAGUGAGACCUAAUUCGGGUAUAAGACGAAAAAAUAGUAGUCGAAACCAAGAAUCAGUCCCAAAAGGUCGGAACGAGGUAUGUGGCUUUCAAACUAGGUUCUGGGUUCAUAAAAGACCUGAAUCAGGAACAAGGGCUAUUAGCUCAGGUGGUUAGAGCGCACCCCUGAUAAGGGUGAGGUCCCUGGUUCGAGUCCAGGAUGGCCCACCUGCACAGGUGGCAAAAACAAAGAAAAGAAGCGAGGAAUCAGCACCUUAUCUUACUUAUAUAGUAAGAGAGAAUGUUGGCUCUGAGUACAGAGUCCAGAGGAACCUUGAAAACUGCAUAGAGCUAGGUGAAAAAGCCAAAAAAGAAGACCGCAAG
rnacentral:tRNA from 1 species